rfam:Actinophytocola sp. 11-183 contig80, whole genome shotgun sequence.
CUUCACCGAACCCAACAACAACGGCGCCUCCCGAUCCUGCCCAUAGGUCGCCAGCAACGCCUGCGCCUC